GAGUAUAUGGCUCAUUAUAGAGCAUGUGCCUACCAUGCACAAGGUCCUGGGUUCAAUUCUCAGCAUCA
rnacentral:tRNA from 1 species